AUUGAACGCUGGCGGCAGGCUUAACACACGCAAGUCGAGCGGAGAUGAGGUGCUUGCACCUUAUCUUAGCGGCGGACGGGUGAGUAAUGCUUAGGAAUCUGCCUAUUAGUGGGGGACAACAUUCCGAAAGGAAUGCUAAUACCGCAUACGUCCUACGGGAGAAAGCAGGGGACCUUCGGGCCUUGCGCUAAUAGAUGAGCCUAAGUCGGAUUAGCUAGUUGGUGGGGUAAAGGCCUACCAAGGCGACGAUCUGUAGCGGGUCUGAGAGGAUGAUCCGCCACACUGGGACUGAGACACGGCCCAGACUCCUACGGGAGGCAGCAGUGGGGAAUAUUGGACAAUGGGCGGAAGCCUGAUCCAGCCAUGCCGCGUGUGUGAAGAAGGCCUUUUGGUUGUAAAGCACUUUAAGCGAGGAGGAGGCUACUUAGAUUAAUACUCUAGGAUAGUGGACGUUACUUGCAGAAUAAGCACCGGCUAACUCUGUGCCAGCCGCCGCGGUAACAC
rnacentral:rRNA from 1 species